GGCAGCCAAUCAGGAGAAGGGUUCUUGAUAAAAAUUUAUGAAUGAACAUUGCCGUCACUGAAUGCGGGUCGGUGACGUCUGAGCUGUACUAACGCCGUGCUCACUUCCAGCUCUGGUGAAGGAGUCCGUGCGGCCUUCCUAUGAGUGGCUGAGCCUCAGACGCUGUUUUUCCGGGACCUCAGUAUCGAACUCCACUCAUGGCUGACACAGAUUAAUAGGAAGAGGCAAUGUAGACACGUGGAUAGAUCUGCUGACAUCACUUACUUCAUAUUCUGGGAUCCUCUCGCCAUCAUCUAGUUUCAUAAAGAUGGGCUACAAAAGAACA